GAUGGCGAUUGUAUAGGAUAAGGUUCAAAUUUGAGAGUAAAUUAUAUUUACCCAUUUCCCAACCCUAGUGGUUUAACAUCACCUUUCCGCCGCUUCUCUAGACUUGGACAUUAACAACACCUUUCCGCUGCUUCUCGAGAAUUGGACAUGGCAAGUAGAACUUUUCAGCAGCAUUAUACAAUUGGAAGACGUAUUCAAGGUGAUGUAUACGAGGGAAGCUGGGGUCCGGUGGCGUCGUCACCGAUGUUUCUAUUAGAUGCUUUCGUACCAUGAAAGCGGCGGCUAGCUACCUGAGAGAUCUCCACCUGGCUAACGGAAGGUGUAGCCGUUGGUUACAAUUUGGUGGUGGAUGAAAAAACCGACGACGACCUUGUUUUUACCGAGCCACUCCGGAGAUUCAACACCUGGCUUAAGAACAAAAAGAAGAAGAUGUGGUUGGAGGAUGAUGAAGGAAAAACUACUAUGGGAUUCGGACAGGAAGCACAGGAAAUGUUUCAGAGUUCAGUCAGAUAGGUCUUGGAAUGGAGUCAAUAAAUUCCGUCGGGAUCGUCCAUGGUAAUUUGGUCAAGUUGGUCAAGAGGGGAAAGAAAAAGAAUAGGAGGAAUAAACGUGACGACACCAUUAUGGAUGUGGAUGCCAAGGUGUAUGCCGAAGGCGUUAAUGGAGUUAUGGUACGGUAGCCUUAGGGUGUGCAAUUUUCGGUAUGACGAUAAACCUAUUGAUGAAACUAGUGGCGGUGAGGCAAAACGACUCAAAGUCGAUGAGGAUAGUAGUGAGUAGCUUUAGUAAUCAUUAUAUUUUUUUUACUUUAAUUUGACUAUAACUAUAGGUUUUUGAUGAAAAUUGUUCUCAAUAGUCAAUACAGAAAAACUAGCUGGGUUAAUUGAUGAUGUUGAAGAUUUUGGAAGGCUGGUUUCUCUAGCCUAUAAGAAGCAUAGGCCGAAUCGUCCUUUUGGACAUGUCUCGAUGAAUGACUAUACAUUGUUUCAUCAAUUGUUUACCUUCGAGAAUAAUAAAAAAUAUGCUAACCAUAGGUAUUUCAUUU